CUAAGUAGUGAUGGGCGAUACCAGGAUUUUUAAUUCGAUACCGAUACCGAUACUUUUAAGAUCGGUAUCGGUCGAUACCGAUACCUAUUUCGAUACCAAAAUAAACACAAAAUUUCAAUUUUCGAUACCGGAAGUGAGUACUUAAAUUGCUAGUAUCGGCCACUUUCGAUACCUGCCGGUUAACGGAAAACCAUUUUAAACUACUGUAUGUAACCUAAAUAAAGCUAAUAAAAAGCUAAUAAGUAAACCAAAAGCUCGAAACGUAAUAAAUAUUUUUUAAACAUGACUUGGUGCACCACAUUUGGAAUAUUAAGAGUUAUUUUAGUGGUUCAUUAAGUCUUAUUCAACCAAGAAGUGAAAUUAAACAAGUCGUUUAAAAAAGGGUGCAAGUAUCGAACGAUACCACGUCAGUAAUCGAUACCGAUACCGCUGUUUGUGGUAUCGCUGGUAUCGAAUACCGAGUACUCGGUAUCGCCCAUCACUACC